CUCCUGGGGGAGGAGGUUCUGGAGGAAUGCCUGGCUGCUGCGGUUCAGGCGUUUGGAAGUUCUUGUGUGCUGGAGAUGUGGCUGGGGUUUGUCUCACAGUGGAAGCGAGGAAUUGCAACUUUUUUCUGUUAUUGUACACCUUGAAGCCUCCCUUCACCACCUGAGACUCUUUUCAGGAAGGACAUGAGCCAAUGCAGUCCAUGAGAGCUGGCUACGGAAGGGGACAUCCUUGCUCCUUCUUACCCCUGCUUAUCCUCAGCUGUAAUCUGGUGACUAAAUGGCUUCUCCUUCCAUCAGCAAGGGGACAGUGAAACCAGGCAUGGUGUUGGUCACUCUGGAUAAAACCCUUAACUGAUGACUCCAUUGGUAAGGACAAAGCAGAGUGAAAUACCUGAUAAUGAGGUAAAUCUCUUUUGGAAUCUGAAGAAAGGUGAGAAGUGAAUGGGUGUUAGUAAGACGAUAAGAGAAGAAAAAUUCUCAAAGAUGGAAGAAGGAGAAAGUAAAAAGAACCAAUUGUAGGGCAGUAUUUUAAACAAGUGUUUUUUUCAUUUAUCAAUUAGAGAAUCUGACUUUUUUUAUUUCUUAAGCCAGUUCUUAGAAAAUUGCCAUCUUCCACAUUUCUUAUUCAGAUACCUCCACAAAAGGAGAAAUUUGGCAGCUUUAUAUUCUGGGGUUUUGUGAGAAAAAUUCAUUUUGUCACCCAGAGUCAGCUGCUGAGAAAAAAAAAUAGCAGCAGGACCUUUUCCUCUCGUUGUUAUUCAAAUACAACCCAGUUCUCCAGGCUGACUGAGGAAUAAGUUGGAAGCAAGCAGUGAGCAGAGACUAAUGCCUUAAUUGGCUAUUAAUAUAUGGUCACUGCUAUUCUUAGAAAUAACUGGUGUUUCAAUAACUACCUCAAAAGUGGAGUUCAGAUUUCAUGGCUGUGUUCUAUCACACAUAAAACCAGGAAGAGUUGAUGGGUAAUAGGUUGGACCACGAUGUCAUUUCUGGAAAGCUCCAGUUACAUUUGCUAUUGCUUUAAAAAGUCAUGCUUGGAAGGUUGCCUGGUAACCUGAUUUAUCUUGAAUAUUAAUAAUUCACCCAUCAGGAAACUACCUUGCCUGUAACUCAGUGUCAAAAUUGAACACCUCUUUGACUAUGUGGUCUGCAAGGUAAUGGUGGUGGGGUUGGAAGUAAAUUAGUUAAAUUUGGUUAGAGAAUGAAUCUGAUAAUGUGUUUAUCCAACUUGCGAAGAAUUUAGAUGUUGUUAAAGGAUAUAAAGUAUAUCAUCUUAAAGAAUUGAAAUGGGGAUUUCUUUCUAAGUUCUACGUAAUUGUUACUUGAUAAACUCAGAUGACAUCUCACACUGAAAGUUCACUAACCACAUAAUUAAUAGGGACAUGUAUUAUUGAUGUACUAAGACUACUUAAUAACACUUCGGUUCCAUUUACAGAAGGAUAAAAUAGUCACCAGGCGUGAGAUCAAUAAAUCACAAGUUUUGAGUGUUAUAUUUACAGCCUGAGAGUCAAGUAACUCUUCAUCAUUGAACAGUCUCCCACUUGGAACUAUGAGUGACCUGUUUCAGGUUUGUUGAGUGCCCUUGUGAAAAAAUUCUAAGCUAUGGAAACCAUUAUUUUCCCCCUGUGAAAUGUCCCCAUAGUACUUAGUUGGGCCUCCUUCCCUAUGUGGACGCUUUGAGACGUCACAGAGGCAAGCAGUACCAAAGAUCAUGAAAGAUUUGGUGGUUACAAACACACCUUGGUUCGCAUCCAGCAACUGUCUCCCAAAUUCAGCUGGGUCUGACAUAGCAGCUGAGCUUCCUGCUCAAUUUGGCCCCAACUCUGCCCAGACAGAGGACUUCUCUGUUUCCACUAGAACGAGCCAGGAACAAAAACUCCAUCCAUCUAAAAAUGCUUGAAAUAAUUCUAGUGUUGGGGAAGACAAAGAGAAAAUAACCGUGUGGUUUCACUGUAAGGAUUUAGGUAUAAGGAAGGGAAAUGGUGUCAGUCAGGGAUUACAUCCUCAUAUGCCACUUGAGGAACCAAAUACCUCCUAAGAAACAACCCACAUCCGACCCUAAACCCUCAGAUGCCAGGAAUCAUUAAGAGCAUUCACCACAGGAGAAAAUUUCUCUGUUAAACUAAAGAUAAACCACUGUGCCCCAAUUCCCAGAUGAUGGAAAUGGGGCUUUAAAUGAUAUAAUGAGUCACAUUUGCAUUCUUUUUAGAAGAUAAACAGCCAAUUUAUUUUUUACCUUGAAUGGCAUGUCUUUUAGUAAUGUGAUUGAGGAGAUAAAAUAACCAGUGGUAACUGAUUAACUAUUUUAAGUCAUUGUGUUCAAAAUGUAUGAUAUAUUAGUUCACUUAUCCAGAAGUGAUCUCAAUGAUUAGGAUUUGAGCCAAGGAAAUAAGCAAAGCAGCUAAGUGAAGUGUAAGCAACUGAAAUACUCACAAAUUGCACCCUCUCUCUUAUGCUCUGAACUCACAGAAGAGGGCCUUAGAGCACUCCCCAGUAUCUAUUUAUUUUAUUUAAGAUACAAUUCUAAUAGCAAAAUGGAAAUAGUUGUUGCAAAGAGAUAAAAAGGAUGCUGUCCAAGUCAGGCAACUGAAAGUGGCAAGAAAUGACAGAACUGACAAUGAUAAAAGAAAUGGAUAAAUCAAAAUGGCAGGAAAAAAAUUCAUGAACAUUUUCUCAGUGUGGGACCAUUCUGCGUAGAGUAAAAUAAAAAUAAUUAAGCAAAACACAGAUUUGGUGUUCACAUUUCAUAACCCUCUAAUAUCAGAAAAUAUGCGAUCUGUGUUAGGAAGACAAUUGAUGUGUCUUAGAAAUAGUUCCAACAUAAAAGGUUAAGUUAUUUUUAAUUCAGUCAUCUUGAAAAUAAGUGCAAUGCUAACUCCUCAUGUUGUUCUUCAUGGAUUACAAGGAAGCAGUGGAGUAUCACAGUUAAAAGGAUGCAUAUGGUUCCCAACUGCCCAGAUUUCAAAUCCCAGCUAUGCCAUGUGUGACCUUGGACAACUCACUUAACGUCUCUGAAGCUCAGUUCCUCCACUGCAAAAUGGGUAGUGGUAAGGAUUUAAUGAGUUAAUGUAUACAAAGCAUUGGAAGAGUACCUGGCACAUAGAAAGUGUUAGAUAAGCAUUCUCUACAAAGAUAUUUGCAUUUACCAAGUACCUAAUGUGUGUCAGGUACUGGGAAGGGUGCUGUGAUCUUUAUCAUUAUAUUUUAUAAGCUUUUACUACAUGAAGUGAAACACCAGAAUCUUGCCUUCAAUAUUCCUCAAGCCCAGCGUAACUGGCAAUAAAGAGUUAUCAACCCUAGUACAACACAAUGUAAUCCAUUAUACCUAAAGUUCUUUUAACCUGAUUUCUGCCAUAGUAAUUAACUUUUGUUUCUUGAAACUUUAUGUCCAUUUUGGUUGGCUACUAUUCUAUCUCUCUGUGAAAUGUUCCCCUCUCUUCAUUUUGCAUGUAUAUUCAUCACCUUUUCUGUUCAGUUACUAUUUUAGACCUCAAGGAUCCAAUGAUCUGGGAACACAGUUCAUCUGAGGAUAGGCAUUACAAGGUAAAAACAGUGUUGAUAAAAGUUCUGUGUCCCUGAUGGUGUGAAGAAGAAAUGUGCAAUCAUUUUCAGGAUGAUUCACAGUGUCGACAGUUUGGAGCAAUUUCCUGAAGAAAGGACAAAACUGGAAGCUAUUCUUUAUGAUCAAAAUUGGGAGCAGGGGGGAAUAAAACACCCCAAAGACACAAGGUGACCUGUCUCAGUGGGGUGACCUAGUGCACCAGCCAGCUAAUGAUGCCCGUCUGUCAGCUGGGCCCCGGGUGCCAGAGCCCGAGGGAGAGGAGACCAACCCUGACAGAUGGUGGCGGCUUUGCUGAUUAUAGAGCUCAGUUGGACCAAGGCUCUAUUUUAUUCCCUGCACCAAGGUCCCUUCUGAACAUAGGCUGUUUACUUAAAACAUAUCCAUUCCUGUUUCUGCUCAUCAUAUUCUUAGGAUAAAAAUGAACAUAGGCAGCUGUUGCAUUUUUUGGUACUAAAUAUUCAAUUCUGCUUUGUGUUAAGGAAAUUUAUAAUCCAUUUUACCCCAUAAUUAUUCUUUAUAAGUGAGAAAUCAAAUCCGAAGUGGCAACAGAGAGUGGACUCUAGGAAAAGAAAUUCAAAUAGGCAUUGCCUUUGGUUAUGCUAUUUCUCUGCAUGAGACAUUCAGACUUUUAUAUUAUCCCACUAAAAAAGGAAACAGCAACCAAAUUUAGCAAGUUGGUGUUUUCAAGCACAAAAGAAUGUCAGGCCAGGAGCUUGGUUCUUCCUUUGCCUUCUGCUUGAGAAAUCUCAGCUCUCCUUCUCAGAGUAAUUAAAAAGUGACUUUAGAAUGUUAUGCCCCCAAAGUCAUUGAACUUCACAUCCAGCCACAUAUAAACAUUUAAGACUAGGGGGAACAAAAGUCCAGUAGUGCAUGGACAGAAGGGUCAUAAGGAAGAAAAGCAACACUGGAAAAAUGAUCCCAACCCUCUGCCACCCGAAACCUCAGGGAGGAAAAAUGUCAUUCCAGGCGGCAGCUGUGAAUUACAACAUGCCCAGGAACUUACUCGGGCCCCUUCAGGCUGAGUCUCAUGCUGUUUGGAAAAGUGGCAGGGGGUUAUAUUUUCACACCCAGCUGUUGCUUUAUGACUUAGUAGGCAAGAAGUUGUGGAGGCUUCCCCAGCUACACAACACUGACUUAUUUAGAGCUCCUGCCUGCAGUGGCUAAUGAAGGUAGGACAAUGGGGCAGGUGUCUCAGCAGACACAGAUUCUGAACCAAGUUAAGUGGGUGAUGUAAGCUAUAAGCCAUAGCCCCAUUAUAAAGGCGAGGCUCUGUAACCUCAUUGGCCAGCUAUCUUGGUAGCUUCAUAUGGCUGCUGCUUUUUGGCAUCUAGAAAACAGCCCUUCCAUUUUUAAAGACUGCAGAAGGAAAGGCUUGAAUAGAGGAAGAGGAGGCUAUCCUCCAACUUCCUAAUCAUUAUCCAGCACAGGCUUUGGUAGGUUACAUAUGCUCAACAAAAUAGCAUGGUUUAGAGAAGAGAACACUGAACAAAGAAUCUAGAAAUGAGUAUUUUAUUCUUAGCUCUGCCACUUUGGAAGAGUUACUUUUUAUCUCUGCAUUUCCAUUUCUGCAACUGUAAAAUAAGGGAAUUAUCUGCUAUGCCCUGGGGUUGGCAAACCUUUUCUGAUUCUUUGGUUUAAGAAUAAUGGGGGCCCCAAUGAGCAGAUCAGUAGUUUAUCUUUAAGCAGUAUUGAUUCAUUUGAGCAUAAUGGGUCAGGAAUCUGUAAUUCUGGUGAUCUUUCCAUAUUGGGAAACACUGAACUACAUGUCUGCUAAGAUGAGAUGGUUCUGUAUCUCCUGGGAGAUCCUUCCUAAAGGAACUGCAGAUAAAAGCCAAUAGAGUGGAAAUUCUUCUUAUCUCUCAGCAUCAAUAGUACAAUAGCGAUCUAGCUAGCACUGUUCAAUAGAACUUUCUGUGAUGGUGGAAAUGUCUAAUAUCUGCACUGUCCAAUACUGCAGCCACUUUCUACAUGUGAUUAUUGGUCACUUAAAUUGUAGCUAAUGGGGCUGAGGGACUGAAUUUUAAUACUGUUUAAUGUUAAUUCAUUUAAAUGUAAAAGCACAUACUUUCCCAUUUUGGACAGCACAGAUGCUACCAUGUUUUGCUGCAAGAAGGUAACAAGUGUUAUGCUGUGGUCAAAUGAAAAACAGGUCUUUAUUUCCAUUUUUACCUUCCUGGGCAGUAUGGGGGAAAGGGCAAGGCUUUGUGACUCAGUUUCCUUAUCUCUCAAAUUCAGAUGGUAAUAUCUACUUCACAGUAUUGUUCAGAAGAUUUAAACUAGAUAUGUGAACACCUUUGAGAACCAUAAUAAGAUCAAUAGAUGCAAGAUAUUAUAAGGGGUUGAAAGUUGAUUUUGUCUCAGUACAAACACAGUGACAUCUGAGAACAUAUAACUAAAUGUGGGUGGAGAUUGGUAAUGUCAGAUGUGAGAGGUCGAAAAUAAAGAGGGGAAACUACAAAGUAAAUGUCAAAGGCAGAGUAGAUGAAAAGGGAGAGUAAUAAAAAAAAGUCAAGACAUGUGGCAUAAGGUAGUGAGGAAGAGGGUGCAGUGGAGGUAUCUGGUGGGAGGACAUUUCAGGGUUGAGAAUUGCUCAUGAUGAGAGGUGCAUGGACAGGUGUCAAUUUUGAGUGACAGUAAAUGGGAAAACCAUUAAGUUGAAUUAGGACACUUAGUUUUCCAUUUACCUGACUGCCUUAGAGAAAGGUAUCUGGAGGGAUUUGGACAGGAGCCAGAUAGGCCAGAAGAAUUUAUGCUGUUCAACAGUAAUGUGGAUGGUUCAGUUUAGAAAGGCGAUGACAGCACUGGAUUAUUUGGGGUGAGUCCAUAAGCCUUCUUACAUAUAAAGGGCUCUGGAAAGGAAGCAUAUACUGUAGCAGAGAUGAAGAAAGCCUUGUUUGACAAAGAUGUCCUGAGAUCCUAUCAAUCACACAAAGUAGAACAUCACUGUGAAGGCAGUCAGUUGGAAAAGGGUGAUCUUGAACCUGGCUUGGCAUAGUGUCCUACUCCUUAGAGUAGAGGGAAUGAAAGAUGCAAUAGGAGACAAAAUGAGUUAAAGAACAUCCUGGGAGCUUUCUAGCACUUAUGAAAAUGGCAACUUGCCAUCUACCUCACUGUCCUUUUCCUGUCCUACUACAAACUGAGAAGGAUUAAUGUUGGAGUCUGCCUGGGUUCAAAUCCAAGCCCUACCAUUUAAUAGCUGUGGUAGCUUGUAAUAGCUUGGGCUGGAAACAAACUCUCUAAGUCACAUGUUUCUUCAUUAUGGGGAUAUAAUAGCACCUGCUCCAGAGAAGUAAGUAAAAUAAUUGAUGUACAAAUUAGCACAGCCCCUAGUCCACAGAAAACACUAAAAACUAUGUUUGUUAAAUAUAAUAUCUCAAACUUCCCAA